AGUGUACAUUGUAUAUAAUAGUGCUGUAUAUAUAUAAAAAUAUAUAUCAGAAAUACGCAAAUCACAAAUUGAAAUUUUGAUACCAAUUAUAUUGCUGAGAACUUCAUUAAAACAAUAUUUUUUUUUUACUUGUAUCAAGUCAUUUUUGUCUAUUUGUCUAUUGACAUUUUUAUUUUAUCAUGAAAGAAGGAAAUUUUUAUAUGUAUGUUCUGAUUUUCAUAAAGGUUGUUUUAUUUGAUUUUACUUUACAGAAUUUUAUUUUUCCAUGUAAAUACUCAAAUGAGUAUUUUCCUUUUGUGAAUACUAAAAUGAUUAUUUCCGUUUUGAAUAAUUAAGUAUUUUGAAAGUUUCUGAUCCUUGUCUAGUUAUCAGACAUACAUUUAUUUAAAAUGAAAAAAAAAAAAACAAAAAAACGUAAGAAUUGAAUCACACAAUUUGAGCAAGAGAGACUUGUUUAAAAUGAAAAUAGCAAUGGAGCUUUAUUUUGUAACAGUGAAUACCUCUUGGUAUUUGAUGUUGCUAUCUUAAUUUAAACUUAUACAUUGAUUCCGAAGGUGAAAUGAAAGUUAACCAGGAAAAACAUUUCCAAAACAUCUGUUUUUAGGCUGUUAAAAAAAGAUCAGUCAAAUGUCAGACUUGUUUCACUUAUACUGAAACCAAUGCAAAUAUUUAAUAUGGCAAAAUGAUUUGUCUUGAUAAAUUUACUGUUUAAUGGUACUUGAAGUGAAAAAAAGGGUUGGAAUGAGUUAAGUGGAUAUAAAUAAAUAUGGUGAGAGUGUUCCUUCGAAAUCCAGGGUAAAACUUUGCUCAUUAGAUUUGUUUCAUUUUUGUGAAGGUGAAUUCACACAUUCCAGAUGAAUAUAUGGUUAAUGCCUUAAAAUUCACAGUAAUUGAAAUACAUAAUUUCUUAAGUUUAAUGAUAAAGUUGUUUUAAAAAUGUUUUAAAUAAAGAAACUACAGGAUUUUGGUCUGUCACUUCAUAACAGUGCUGAUUGUGAAAUGAGUGCUUGUGACUGCAUACAGAUGGAAAAUAUUUUUCAAAUGGCAUAGGUGUUUGUAAUUUUAAAUUUCUAUAAAGACUUUAUUGUUUAAAUGGCUGUUCAAAAAAGACAUUUAUAUUUUUGAUUAAAAAACAAUUAAAUUUUGUGAAAGGUCAACUUAAAAAAAAAAUUGAAUUUUUAGCUUAUUCUUCUUGAACAUAUUCUAAAAGAAAUGGCAUUUAUGUUCUCAACAUGAAAGAAGAAAUAACUGAUCAGUGCUGGAAAUGCAAGUCUAUAAAAUUCUUGCACACUUAUUUCAUUUUGUAUUGAAAAAUUUUGAGUAAUUAUUUAGAAAAAACAUGACAACUUCAUGUUUUAAACUAGUGUUAUGUCAAAUGUUUAAAAUUCAAAACAUAUUUUCACAAACUUUAAGUAUGUAACAUACUAUAUCAUUUAAUUCACAUUACAUUUGAGGAAACAAGGUUGUGUUUAUUUUGUUUAUGCAGUUGUAGUGAAGAAGUAUUAGCAAUAUAAAACUACACAUGUUCUCGUACUGUUGAUCAAUUUUAAUAAAAUAUGUCAAAAUAUA
rnacentral:lncRNA from 1 species